ACAUCCAGCGAACUUGGCAGAGAUGCCUUGGUGCCUUCGGGAACGCUGAGACAGGUGCUGCAUGGCUGUCGUCAGCUCGUGUUGUGAAAUGUUGGGUUAAGUCCCGNAACGAGCGCAACCCUUAUCCUUUGUUGCCAGCGAUUCGGUCGGGAACUCAAAGGAGACUGCCGGUGAUAAACCGGGAGGAAGGUGGGGAUGACGUCAAGUCAUCAUGGCCCUUACGAGUAGGGCUACACACGUGCUACAAUGGCGCAUACAAAGAGAAGCGACCUCGCGAGAGCAAGCGGACCUCAUAAAGUGCGUCGUAGUCCGGAUCGGAGUCUGCAACUCGACUCCGUGAAGUCGGAAUCGCUAGUAAUCGUGGAUCAGAAUGCCACGGUGAAUACGUUCCCGGGCCUUGUACACACCGCCCGUCACACCAUGGGAGUGGGUUGCAAAAGAAGUAGGUAGCUUAACCUUCGGGAGGGCGCUUACCACUUUGUGAUUCAUGACUGGGGUGAAGUCGUAACAAGGUAGGCGUAGCGAG
rnacentral:rRNA from 1 species